rnacentral:rRNA from 1 species
UACGUAGGGGGCAAGCGUUGUCCGGAAUCAUUGGGCGUAAAGCGCGUGUAGGCGGUUCGAUAAGUCUGCUGUGAAAGUCCAGGGCUCAACCCUGGAAAGCCGGUGGAUACUGUCGGACUAGAGUGCGGAAGAGGCGAGUGGAAUUCCCGGUGUAGCGGUGAAAUGCGUAGAUAUCGAGAGGAACACCUGCGGCGAAGGCGGGUUGCUGGGCUGACACUGACGCUGAGGCGCGAAAGCUAGGGGAGCGAACGGG